rnacentral:rRNA from 1 species
UAGGGUGCAAGCGUUAAUCGGAAUUACUGGGCGUAAAGCGUGCGCAGGCGGUUCUAUAAGACAGAUGUGAAAUCCCCGGGCUCAACCUGGGAACUGCAUUUGUGACUGUAGAGCUGGAGUGCGGCAGAGGGGGAUGGAAUUCCGCGUGUAGCAGUGAAAUGCGUAGAUAUGCGGAGGAACACCGAUGGCGAAGGCAAUCCCCUGGGCCUGCACUGACGCUCAUGCACGAAAGCGUGGGGAGCAAACAGG